UAAGAAAUGAUCAGUGUGAUAAAGACAAAGAAGUUUGGAAAGAUCCACAAGAAUUGAUGCAGCAGGAAGAGAAUGAGAAGAGAUAAAAUUCAGUUGGCUUCCCUGCAAUGCUAAUUGCCUAGCACUGUACAUUGCAAAUGGACAAAAACCUUGGAGAUAGGAGACAGAAAGCCAAGAUAAAAACAAAUAUUUGUUGGAUUGGAGUGGAUCUAAUUCCUGGCAGAAGCCCUCUAAGAAUAUCACAUUAACAAUUAAAUAUAAUCUUAUAUCCUAACAAAAGAACAGGGGUUCUAGGAAAGGUACUCCUCCCUUAUCCUGUAGUGCAUCCUGUGUGGGAUGCAUGACUACCACUGGUGGCUUAACCGAGUCCUCUAGUAUUUGGACUUUAGAGUUCAUUUCUCCAUAACCACUCUAAGGAAAACUGACAUCAGAAUGUGAUUUAUCUCAUUUAUCAUAAAGAACAGUUCCAGAAUGA